UAGGUUUAUUUAUCCUCUCUGAGACCGUCUGGUCCUUUGGUAGGUUUAUUUAUCCUCUCUGAGACCGUCUGGUCCUUUGGUAGGUUUAUUUAUCCUCUCUGAGACCGUCUGGUCCUUUGGUAGGUUUAUUUAUCCUCUCUGAGACCGUCGUGCAUGGUCAGACACUGAGCUUCUUCAACUUAGAAAAUGUAUACUAGAGGUAUGAUGAAUUAAUGUUGAAUCCUCUCCUCCCCUCCUCACCUCUCCUACAGGUGUGUUUAUGUGGGAGGUGUAUACUGAGGGGCGUCUGCCCUAUGAGAACCGGUCUAAUGGUGAGGUGGUGGAGGCCCUGAAUGCAGGCCUGAGGCUGCUGAAACCCAGACAGGCCCCAGAGGCUGUGCACCUCCUCAUGGAGUGGUGCUGGAAGGAGAAACCAGAGGACCGUCCAUCCUUUGCUCUCCUGCUGCACGAGCUGGCCUCUCUCUCAGAUCUCUGAGCCUGAAUAGACAAGCUAUUCAACCAAACCUAGUCUGCUAACUAGCUAUCCGGGGUAAAUCAUGGAAUAAUCAUUUGCUCAAUAAAACUGAAGAUACGAUACAAAAAAGACUUAGCUAGCUGUAUUUAUGUUAUUUAUUCAUUUCCUUCUAGUUUCUAUUUCUUACUUUUUUUUAUAGCAACCAUCUUUUUUUAUAAAAUGAAGAAGUCUA